UGAUGUCUUCUCAGACCGCAAACGCUUCUUCAGCAUUGGCUUACUGCGGCCCUAGAUGUAGGCAAACAUGGCCGACUCCUCCUGUGUUACGAAGCUCAUUCCAGUGUGACUCUGGAUGUCAAAGGUUGAUGGCAACAAAUCAAACUGUACCUCAUGCUGCCACCUGGAAACUGCUUGUCUGUGUGCUCCAGGUGGAAGAACUGCACUUCUGGCUCCUCUUGCUGGGUUCUGCAAGCCUGCUCUCACCUGUGUAGGUGGCCCACACCACCCCAAAUACUGGGUUGAGGAGAGGAGUCACUCUUGGUCUCCUGCAACCCCUUUGGUAAUUUCCUUAUGGCUCAUCCUGGGUAAAGGCCAGUGCUCUGUGUUCCCUGGCUACCUGCAGCCGUUGGCUCCUCUGUGCUCAGCAGGUGACUCUGUCCCACCUAAUACAACCUGUAUUUAACCUAGAGUACAUCUCUAGCCAGUUUUGACGUAGGGCAUUAAGCAGGAAUCAGUGGCGCUGUCUGGUCCUGAGGCCUGAAUUUGAGAGAUGCUAAGUACUUGCAGGUUCGAUUGACUUCAUUUGGAGCUGUUAUAGCUCAGGAGUUUGGCCCUGAGGUUCCUGAUGAAUAACCCGGCACGUCCAGCCAAAUCUGAGCUUAUGUUCAUCAGCCAAGUGAAGGGAAUUAGGCAUAUUGACACCAGAUGAGGAUCUGGUCCUGAUA